rnacentral:rRNA from 1 species
AGUUGUUGCAGUUAGAACGCUCGUAGUCGGAUUUCGGGGCGGGGCGACCGGUCUGCCGAUGGGUAUGCACUGGUCGGCGCGUCCUUCCUUCCGGAGACCGUUCCUACUCUUAACUGAGCGGGGGCGGGAGACGGAUCGUUUACUUUGAAAAAAUCAGAGUGUUUCAAGCAGGCAGCUCGCUCUUGCAUGGAUUAGCAUGGGAUAAUGAAAUAGGACUUUGGUGCUAUUUUGUUGGUUUCGAACACCGAAGUAAUGAUUAAAAGGGACAGUCAGGGGCACUCGUAUUCCGCCGAGAGAGGUGAAAUUCUCAGACCAGCGGAAGACGAACCACUGCGAAAGCAUUUGCCAGGGAUGUUUUCACUGAUCAAGAACGAAAGUUAGGGGAUCGAAGACGAUCAGAUACCGUCGUAGUCUUAACCAUAAACCAUGCCGACUAGGGAUUGGGGGAUGUUCACUGAUUGACUCCCUCAGCACCUUACGGGAAACUAAAGUCUUUGGGUUCCGGGGGGAGUAUGGUCGCAAGGCUGAAACUUAAAGGAAUUGACGGAAGGGCACCACCAGGUGUGGAGCCUGCGGCUUAAUUUGACUCAACACGGGGAAACUUACCAAGUCCAGACAUUGCUGAGGAUUGACAGAUUGAGAGCUCUUUCUUGAUUUAAUGGGUGGUGGUG